rnacentral:rRNA from 1 species
UGGGGAAUAUUGCACAAUGGGCGCAAGCCUGAUGCAGCAACGCCGCGUGAACGAUGAAGGUCUUCGGAUCGUAAAGUUCUGUUGCAGGGGAAGAUAAUGACGGUACCCUGUGAGGAAGCCCCGGCUAACUACGUGCCAGCAGCCGCGGUAAUACGUAGGGGGCUAGCGUUAUCCGGAUUUACUGGGCGUAAAGGGUGCGUAGGUGGUCUUUCAAGUCGGUGGUUAAAGGCUACGGCUCAACCGUAGUUAGCCUCCGAAACUGGAAGACUUGAGUGCAGGAGAGGAAAGUGGAAUUCCCAGUGUAGCGGUGAAAUGCGUAGAUAUUGGUAGGAACACCAGUAGCGAAGGCGGCUUUCUGGACUGCAACUGACACUGAGGCACGAAAGCGUGGGUAGCAAACAGG